rnacentral:misc_RNA from 1 species
UGGCUCUCGCAUCGAUGAAGAACGCAGCGAAAUGCGAUAAGUAAUGUGAAUUGCAGAAUUCAGUGAAUCAUCGAAUCUUUGAACGCACCUUGCGCCUUUUGGUAUUCCAAAAGGCAUGCCUGUUUGAGUGUCAUGUGGACUCAACCCCAAAGGUUUUUCCUCUGGGUGUUGGACUUGGGCGCCUGCCUCUGGCUCGCCUUAAAAGCGUUAGUGGGACAACCAAAAGCCCGAUGUAAUAAGUUUCAUCUGGUCUCGAGGGGACGCCCGCUCACAACCACCAUACUUUUAUCUCUGACCUCAAAUCAGGUAGGACUACCCGCUGA